rnacentral:tRNA from 1 species
UUGCCCGUGGGCUGUAGGGCGAAUCGGGGCGGCUUGGAACCGCCGGCGGUGACGGCGCGGUUCAGAGCGCGCGGACGGC